CCAUUUUCAAUACCUGACCCAACCCCUUUCUUCUCCGCAACCAGAAAAUGCCCAACGCGCUCUGCAGAAAAUCUCCAUCCCAACGACCCAAAGCUUCCUCCGUUUCGUCACUUUCUUCUUCAACGCGUAAAAUCCAAGGAGGAUGGAAUUGUGUGACCAGAUAACAGUGUGUCUAAGGCAGUGAUACAACCUUCGCGCGUGAACAACCCGUCUUCUUCGUCCCUGUCUGUUCCGUACGAGCUUGAGAUGUAACGUAUCACGCGUUUUCGUCUUUGGUGGCUUGAGAUGGAGCCAUGUUGCACAAGGAGGACGUCGAAUUGAUCCCGUGUGUCGAUUAUCACAUUUCCUUUUCUGGAAUAAGGACGAAUUGGCAGAAAAGAGGUCUCCUCAUUUCGGGAAAAAGAUUUUGAAUUUUGAACCGAUGGGCCUCAUUUCAUCCGUUUUCAUCUUUCCUCCCAAACACCCGAAAACCCUAAAUUCCUUCCUAUAUAACUUCUCUUCUAUGUUUUCCCACAAAAAAAGGGGGGAGGAGAGAAAAAAGACAGAGGAAAUUUUAGAGAAGGAAAAAGGUUUACUAGGUGGCGGAAAUUUUAGGAUUUGUCCUUCAAGUUCCUUAAUUUCCAGUAGAUAUACGUAGUGAGAGUAUAGGAGGCAGAGAAUCCAUGCGUAAAAGACAUACACUCCCUCCUCUUAGAGACGAUUCAUUGGAAAUUCGCUAAGACCCCCGAGAACUCUCAGGGUCGCAGCUAGUGUUGAAGUUGCUUCCAAUUACUUGUCUCCCUGUUUCGCUGCUCUUAAGAAGGAUGAACUCCCUCCUUUUGCAUUCCAAGGGAGUCACAAAGACUCAUACUUCCUUCCAUCGAGUCGAGCAACUACUUGAAAAGGCGAACAGACCCAAAAUUGGAGAAUACAUGAAAGACCAAGGCGGAGAGUGGAAGAAUGGAUCUUCAAGGCCCAAAUUAUGUUUUUUAACAAAGAUUUGUAUUUUGUUGUUAUAGGGACUAAGCCCCUUUAUUAUUUUAUGUAUAACUUACAUAAAUCUCAUAGUGUAAAACCUAAAUUAUAUAAUAUCCCUUCUCUUUUCUAUUUUAUAAAAAUUCCUUAAAAAAGGAGUCAUCCGGAUACAUAA